rnacentral:rRNA from 1 species
AUUGAACGCUGGCGGCAGGCCUAACACAUGCAAGUCGAGCGGAGCGGCGGACGGGUGAGUAAUGCCUAGGAAUCUGCCUGGUAGUGGGGGAUAACGUCCGGUAACGGGCGCUAAUACCGCAUACUAUCAGAUGAGCCUCGGUCGGAUUUGCUAGGUGGUGGGGUAAAGGCUUACCAAGUCGACGAUCCGUAGCUGGUCUGAGAGGAUGAUCAGUCACACUGGAACUGAGACACGGUCCAGACUCCUACGGGAGGCAGCAGUGGGGAAUAUUGGACAAUGGGCGAAAGCCUGAUCCAGCCAUGCCGCGUGUGUGAAGAAGGUCUUCGGAUUGUAAAGCACUUUAAGUUGGGAAGCGUUACCUACAGAAGAAGCACCGGCUAACUUCGUGCCAGCCGCCGCGGUAAUAC